CAGCACCUCAAGUGGUCAGGAUGAUUAUUGGGCCUAAAGCAUCCGUAGCCGGCGCUGUAAGUUUUCGGUUAAAUCUGUACGCUCAACGUACAGGCUGCCGGGAAUACUGCAGCGCUAGGGAGUGGGAGAGGUAGACGGUACUCCGUAGGAAGGGGUAAAAUCCUUUGAUCUAUUGAUGACCACCUGUGGCGAAGGCGGUCUACCAGAACACGUCCGACGGUGAGGGAUGAAAGCUGGGGGAGCAAACCGGAUUAGAUACCCGAGUAGUCC
rnacentral:rRNA from 1 species